UGUACGUAUAUUUGUUUGAAUGUUGUUUUAUAAAUAGUUUUACAUGUGGACUUGUUCAUCUAAAACAGUUUAUAAAAAGUUAUUCCUGACAUCAAUGCAACCAAGUUGUAAGCAAGACUUCCGACACCAUUUCCUGCAAAGAUAAUAACAAGUUAUAAAUCUUGAAACAUUCGACAUGUUAUUAAAAAGCAUAAUCGAUGGCUUGUUAAC
rnacentral:lncRNA from 1 species